GAAGAUUGCAACGGUCCUCGUAGUGGUAGAAACGCGUAUGGGCAGGGUGGUGUAACUACCCGGCGGAAGCACCCAUGCGCGGAAAACAGGCUCCUGACGGGGCCUUUUUUUAUGCCGGAA
rnacentral:sRNA from 1 species